ACAUGCAAGUCGAGGGGCAGCGGGAUUGAAGCUUGCUUCAAUUGCCGGCGACCGGCGCACGGGUGAGUAACGCGUAUCCAACCUUCCGUACACUCAGGGAUAGCCUUUCGAAAGAAAGAUUAAUACCUGAUGGUAUGAUGAGAUUGCAUGAUAGCAUCAUUAAAGAUUCAUCGGUGUACGAUGGGGAUGCGUUCCAUUAGGUAGUAGGCGGGGUAACGGCCCACCUAGCCUACGAUGGAUAGGGGUUCUGAGAGGAAGGUCCCCCACAUUGGAACUGAGACACGGUCCAAACUCCUACGGGAGGCAGCAGUGAGGAAUAUUGGUCAAUGGACGAGAGUCUGAACCAGCCAAGUAGCGUGAAGGAUGAAGGUCCUACGGAUUGUGAACUUCUUUUAUAAGGGAAUAAAACCUCCCACGUGUGGGAGCUUGUAUGUACCUUAUGAAUAAGCAUCGGCUAACUCCGUGCCAGCAGCCGCGGUAAUACGGAGGAUGCGAGCGUUAUCCGGAUUUAUUGGGUUUAAAGGGAGCGCAGACGGGUCGUUAAGUCAGCUGUGAAAGUUUGGGGCUCAACCUUAAAAUUGCAGUUGAUACUGGCGUCCUUGAGUGCGGUUGAGGUGUGCGGAAUUCGUGGUGUAGCGGUGAAAUGCUUAGAUAUCACGAAGAACUCCGAUUGCGAAGGCAGCACACUAAGCCGUAACUGACGUUCAUGCUCGAAAGUGUGGGUAUCAAACAGGAUUAGAUACCCUGGUAGUCCACACGGUAAACGAUGGAUACUCGCUGUUGGCGAUAUACUGUCAGCGGCUUAGCGAAAGCGUUAAGUAUCCCACCUGGGGAGUACGCCGGCACGGUGAAACUCAGAGGAAUUGACGGGG
rnacentral:rRNA from 1 species